UCCCUGGUGGCUCAGACAGUAAAGAAUCUGCCUGCAAUGCAGGAUACCCAGGUUCCAUCCCUGGCUUGGGAA
rnacentral:tRNA from 1 species